rnacentral:misc_RNA from 1 species
GAUGAAGAACGUAGCGAAAUGCGAUAAGUAAUGUGAAUUGCAGAAUUCAGUGAAUCAUCGAAUCUUUGAACGCACCUUGCGCUCCUUGGUAUUCCGAGGAGCAUGCCUGUUUGAGUGUCAUUAAAUUCUCAAUCUUCACAGUUUUGUACUGUCUGAAGAUUGGAUGUGGGGGUUUAUGUGGGCCGAAAGUUCCACUCCCUUGAAAUAUAUUAGCUGGAAUGCCUUUGCAAAUCCAACUAUCAGUGUGAUAAUUAUCUAUGCUGGAGUUGUUGCUUAUAAGGAAUCUGCUUCUAACCUUACUAUCCUUUGGGAUAACAUAGAACCAUUUUGACCUCAAAUCAGGUAGGACUACCCGCUGAACUUAAGCAUAUCAAUAAGCGGAGGA